GGCAGGGAGGACCAGCCGUCAGUCUGACACAACUGGCAUGUCUUCUGAAGGGAAAGGGAAGAAGUGGGUGAGUCAAAGUUAGCAUAAAAUUAGAACAAUCCCAGGCAGAGAGGAGGAAGCCAAGAAGUAGAGGUAUUCAAGAAAGACCAUCAUGAAUGAUCUCGAAAUCCCAGUAACCAUUUUAAGGUCCUAACUUAUGAAAAUUGGCAAGAAAAUCAUCCCUUGUAAUAAAGAUUAAAAAAGAAAGAAAAAAAGUUCACCCAAACUCACCUACCCUUCAACUAAGUGACAGUAUACACAAUGUCCUUCCACCUCUUCAAAGACCAGAGAAAGGGAAAAACUGAGGCCCAGAGUGGGGUUGGAGUAAACCAGAGCUGUCAAACACUCAUCAUGCUGCCACCAACACUCCUCAGUAUAGAG